rnacentral:lncRNA from 1 species
UGUGCGUUUGUGCCCACGCACUUGUUCAAAGCGACGCUUGCUUCCUCUAAGCUGCUCAGAAGCCCUCUCAACAGCAGCUCUGAGAACAGAGGGUGCUAAUUGGAUGCUGAAACCCCGACGACACCUCUCCAUCAGCCCAGCCCGGCCUUGUCCAGGCCCUGGCUUUCCGGAACGAGCUCCUGUCCCUGGUCCUAUCACCAACUCAUCGUCCCUGGGAAAAGGCCGUUCCUUUCAAGUAGAAACAGAGGAGCUGGCCUGCAGCUUCUGCCGGGAUUCUUGAAGAGCCCACAACAGGCCAGAGAUGCUACGAAAUCCACUUCUUCCUAUUUUAGCAUCUCUAUAACCAGGACCCAUCUUGUGAUCUUAAAAUCGUUGUUCUUGUGGCAGCGAUGGUGGCGUGGCCAACACUUACCGAACACGUGUGAUCUUUGUGGAGCUGCAGGGACGCCUGACCAGGCACCCACAGCCAGCCCCUGGACGGGUCAGUCGACAAAAUACCCUAUGGCCGUUUGAGGAAGGCAUAAGUCUUGUUUGUGAUCUGAAAGCCUUCUGUGGACACCUUCUGGGAAGAUCAAGAAAGAGCCAGCGUCGCAAAUGCAAAAGAAGUAUCAGUAGCUCGGAAGAAAAUCUCGGAGAUGCCGGCGGAGUGCUCUGUGAGAAAGUGCAGCAUCCUCUACGCCUGGCGUCUCAGAGGAUGACACUGCGUGGGAGACGUGGACAUGGAUGGCUCUGAGUUGAAACAUGAUCCGGAGCAAGCUGGACCCUGAAGCCGGCAGGUGUGGACCCUGAGUAGGAAGGCUCGAGAUACUGUAAGCAAUUCAUUGCAUUUAAAAUAUGUGCACUCACAACAUUCCAUGACAUAUAACAAUGAUUAAAUAAGUAUUAACGAACAUUGUCAAUAAGUAUCAAGUAAAAAUCGAAGUGAUGAGUAAGCACUGGGUCACAGCAUCAUUUCCUUUCUCAGCAGUAACUGAAGCAGUGAUUCCCUUUACUAAAAUCAGUGACAUCCCUCCCAGUCUGGCUGAAAUACAGGUGGCUGAAUUCAGUUCAACUGACUAAUGAACUUAGAUUUAAAGGAGCCCAGGAGGUCACGAACCUUUCCUUGGUGAGAUGGCCCCUGCCGGUCGGUGGCAAUGGGUCUUGAUAGACGGUCAUUUUGCAGGAUGAUCAUUUCUUUGUAUGGAGACUAUACAGAGGGGGAGCCAAGGGCAUUUUAGGAGGGAUAGUUUCAUGGGAGUAGUCCCGUGUUGCAGGAUGUUUAACAUCCUUGGCUUCUACUGUGUUCUGUAGUGCCUCCCAGGCAUUAUGACCGCGGACAAAAUCCCCAAAAUCAC